GACGGAGGGUGCUAGCGUUGUUCGGAAUGACUGGGCGUAAAGGGCGCGUAGGCGGCCGCUUGCGUCGGAUGUGAAAGCCCGGGGCUCAACCCCGGAACGGCAUCCGAUACGGGGCGGCUCGAGACCGAGAGAGGUGAGUGGAAUACCCAGUGUAGAGGUGAAAUUCGUAGAUAUGGGGAGGAACACCGGUGGCGAAGGCGGCCACCUGGACGGUAACUGACGCUGAGACGCGAAAGCGUGGGGAGCGAACAGG
rnacentral:rRNA from 1 species